rnacentral:rRNA from 1 species
AGUGUAGGACGGGUGCGUAACACGCGAGCAACAUGUCCGACGGUGGGGGAUAGCCGGCCCAACGGCCGGGUAAUACCGCAUACGGUCACGGCAUCGAAAGUGGCGCCGAUGGAGUGGCUCGCGGCCUAUCAGCUAGUUGGUGGGGUCACGGCUCACCAAGGCGACGACGGGUAGCUGGUCUGAGAGGAUGACCAGCCACAUUGGGACUGAGACACGGCCCAGACUCCUACGGGAGGCAGCAGUGGGGAAUAUUGCGCAAUGGGCGAAUGCCUGACGCAGCGACGCCGCGUGUGGGAUGACGGCCUUCGGGUUGUAAACCACUGUCGGGGGGGACGAAUGACGGUACCCCCAAAGGAAGCACCGGCUCACUCCGUGCCAGCAGCCGCGGUAAUACGGAGGGUGCGAGCGUUGUCCGGAAUCAC